ACUCAAGUGCAUGUGUGACUUUUUGAGAAGAAACCACACAAGGCUGUUGGUUAGCAAUCACCAUGUAAAAGGGUUUGCAGAAACCAGACAGAGAGCCUGUGUGGAGAUGCUAUUGGCUGCCCAGGUUGGACUGCCUCCAACCUGAGGUGGUCUUGGAGUGAUCUAACAAAAGAGUGAAUGAUUAUGCUAGGAAUCAGACAAAGACUGGUGGACAGUUUGGUAAAGUGAAGCCAAAUAUGGAGAUUGUGCUGGCAGCCAUGAGGGACAAGGCCAAGCAUUGGGUCCAUGGCCAGGAGACAGAGACUGGGGCAUCUGAGCAACUGCUUUCAAAUAAGGCAGCCUGCUUCUGGACAUGGGAAAGCCAGAGGAGGAAAAGGAGGUUGAGGCGGAGCCUCAAGCUAAUCUGGGGCACCAUUGCCAUCCAGGGUAGAUGGGGUCUAGUUGAUUGUGUAGGACGC